ACCACGGCUAAAAAUAGAACAGGGGUAAAAUGUAGUUUUUUGCUUAUAACUCUGAAACCCAAAUCAUUUAGAGGAAAUCUGACAAGGAGGUUAAUUGUUAAUCAAGUCAAUAUAUAUCUGCCCUGAAAUAUUCAAAUGAAUUGGACAACCGGUUGUUGGGUUGCUGCCCUCCAAUUGGUAAUUUUUAAAGAAAUUUUGCUGUUUUUGGUUAUUAUCUUGAAUACUAUUAUAGAUAGCGAUAAACUGUAAACAGCGAUAAUGUUCAUCAAAGUAAGAUCUACAAAUAAGUCCACAUGACCUAAAUGGUCAAUUGACCCC
rnacentral:lncRNA from 1 species